AUGGCCAAAGUGCCAUUGGUUUCAGUUUGCCCUCAAGUACUGAGCUAUAAGCUAUUGCGCGUCAAAGGAGCAGCAGCAUCCCUGCCCACUCAAUUGUCAUCUUUUCCUGCCAGCUUUGCUGCAGCGAUGUUUUCGUGCCCUGGCAGAACUCUCUACCUGCCCUUUGUGGAAUGCAAAGGGAAAGCUGCUCCUGAAUGUAGUGACGAUGCCAGCCCUUGUCAGAGAGAAGGCUCAAAGUUCAUCAGCCACUGGCCCUGCGUCCACACCUUAGCUGAGAUGCAGUUGAUUUGCUCAGAAACAGGCAAAUUGUUUUACAGCCAUAGGCUGCUCCUAUAACACAGCAGAUUUCAUGCAAAUCUGUUAGGGCAUUGCCAAUGGAACAAGUGAAUAAUAGCCCCCGUCUUGCUGCCUCUCUGCACUUGUCCUGCUUUCCUUCUCCAUCUUCCCAAUUAAAAACAAGAUAAAAAAAAAUGGGCCUCAGCUGUAGACAUAAAGUUCAUGCUAGACCUUACGAAAAUGUCCUGAAUGUAAGCCUAGGUGAUUUAGAGAAAUCAAGGCUCCUUGAUUAGAGGUGUUUUAAAAACAUGCUAACAGCAUAUAAAUUACAAAGGGAUUGAAGGCUGAGGCUUUAAGACAGGAGGACAAGCCACUACAUGAUCAGGCAGGUGUGGAAGUGAAAUCAAAGGGCUGUUAGAUUGAUUAAUUAUAAACCACAUGAGAAACAACUGGGGAGAGACUUCCUCAUUCAGACUCAAAUAAGGUAGGGAAUAGAUUGCUUUACAACAUGUCUUUGGGAGAUUGUGUGAGCAAGGUGAAAGUGGAAGAAGGUAUGUAUGGUAGGCUGCAGUUGGCAGAGAAAGGAUGAAGACUGGGCUGUCAGAGCUAAAGGGGAACAGAUACAGGGAUGUCUACAGACAAGGGAUUUGUAGUUUAGACUUCUAUAGCAUAUAUUCAUUUUUAUUUUUAUUGUUUAAUUUUCCCUUUGCCUCUGCUAUGAAGAGUGUCUUAACUGUAGCAGUACACUUGCUUAUAUUGGUAUUAUCCUUGUUUCAUUCUAUUCCACGAAGGGCUAUAGUUGUCAAGGGGGCCUAACACUUGUGCUUCCCAUCUUUCAGUAUGGAGACUGUUUUGGUCUGCAGGGCUAGCAGCUGCUGUGUAAGUUUAUUUCUUUUUAUUCAGUCUGUCUUCUGUAGCAAACUACUGUGAACUAAUUCUUUAAGCCUUAUUAUCCAGGCUUCUUUACUGCACUCUGAAAAGAACGAGAAGUGCUGAAGAACAUGAUUAGCCCCUGUCUGAUGAAACUGCUGACCCUAUAGGGCCGCCAGUGCCAACAGGAGGAUGGAGGGGUCAGGGCUGGGAUGCAUGGUGUUCUGGCUGAUAGCACACCGGAACAGAUCAGAGCAGCCAUGAAACUGCUCUGGCACUGGAAGUCAAGGCAGUUUUGAGCAAUAUCUGGAAGCAGAAAGAUAAUGAUGCUGAAAGCUUCCUCUGCCCGUGUCCUUCUCACUUAGAGUCUGCAGUGUUGAAGUGACUGACAACUGAAAGAGCAGUAACUGGAGAGAGGAAGGAAGCCCAGUAUCUCUACUUUUGGUUGGGGUUUCCUUGGAUUCCAGGAAAUCUGACCUUAAGAAGCGUGCCAGGGUAGAGAGGUUGGGCUCAUCACGGGGAGCAGCCACCCGGACUGAAGGAAGGAAAUGAGAUUGCAUCCCCUUAUGUCCCAGUGGAUGGAGGUAGCCUACCUCAACACUGCAGAUGUAGAGCAAAGAGCUGUCUGACACAGAUUUUAAAUCAGACUGUCCUUACCCUCUGUCGCUAGCCAAUGUGGGAGCAACAAAGAUCCUUGCUUAUUUUUACAACUGAAAAAUAAUUCUUCCCUGUUCUGCUUUGUAGUAGUUACAUGCUGAUGGAGAACCUGUUGAGACAAGCAAUCCAACAUAAGGGUCUUUUCUCCUCCAUCAUUAACUGGACCAUAUUAGUUAAGUGCAAGAAAUAGUAGGAAAUAAGCAGAUAUAAUAAAUGCUGAAGGCUUAAACUCGGCCCA
rnacentral:lncRNA from 1 species